GACAGAGGGUGCAAACGUUGUUCGGAAUGACUGGGCGUAAAGCGCGUGUAGGCGGCUCGGCAAGUCGGAUGUGAAAGCCCUGGGCUCAACCCAGGAAGUGCACUCGAAACUGCCGAGCUGGAGUCCCGGAGAGGAAGGCGGAAUUCUCGGUGUAGAGGUGAAAUUCGUAGAUAUCGAGAGGAACACCGGUGGCGAAGGCGGCCUUCUGGACGGCGACUGACGCUGAGACGCGAAAGCGUGGGGAGCAAACAGG
rnacentral:rRNA from 2 species